GUAAAGGCCUACCAAGGCGAUGAUGGAUAGCCGGGCCUGAGAGGGUGAACGGCCACAAGGGGACUGAGACACGGCCCUUACUACUACGGGAGGCAGCAGUGGGGAAUAUUGGACAAUGGACCAAAAGUCUGAUCCAGCAAUUCUGUGUGCACGAAGAAGUUUUUCGGAAUGUAAAGUGCUUUCAGUUGGGACGAAGAAAGUGACGGUACCAACGGAAGAAGGGGCGGCUAAAUACGUGCCAGCAGCCGCGGUAAUACGUAUGCCCCGAGCGUUAUCCGGAUUUAUUGGGCGUAAAGCGCGUCUAGGUGGUUUAAAAAGUCUGAUGUUAAAAUGCGGGGCUCAACUCCGUAUUGCGUUGGAAACUGUUAGACUAGAGUAUUGGAGAGGUGGGCGGAACUACAAGUGUAGAGGUGAAAUUCGUAGAUAUUUGUAGGAAUGCCGAUGGAGAAGUCAGCUCACUGGACAAAUACUGACGCUGAAGCGCGAAAGCGUGGGGAGCAAACAGGAUUAGAUACCCUGGUAGUCCACGCUGUAAACGAUGAUUACUAGGUGUCGGCUGUCAAAGGUCGGCGCCCAAGCAAACGCGAUAAGUAAUCCGCCUGGGGAGUACGUUUCAAGUAUGAAACUCAAAGGAAUUGACGG
rnacentral:rRNA from 1 species